rnacentral:tRNA from 1 species
GGGUCUGUAGCCUUGAGAUUACGCUUCCGCUUCAUAAGCGGAAGGUCAUGGGUUCGAUUCCCAGCCCCU